GGGUUGUGAGGUUAAGCGACUAAGCGUACACGGUGGAUGCCCUGGCAGUCAGAGGCGAUGAAGGACGUGCUAAUCUGCGAUAAGCGCCGGUAAGGUGAUAUGAACCGUUAUAACCGGCGAUUUCCGAAUGGGGAAACCCAGUGUGAUUCGUCACACUAUCAUUAACUGAAUCCAUAGGUUAAUGAGGCGAACCGGGGGAACUGAAACAUCUAAGUACCCCGAGGAAAAGAAAUCAACCGAGAUUCCCCCAGUAGCGGCGAGCGAACGGGGAGGAGCCCAGAGUCUGAAUCAGCAUGUGUGUUAGUGGAAGCGUCUGGAAAGGCGCGCGAUACAGGGUGACAGCCCCGUACACAAAAGCGCAUGUGCUGUGAGCUCGAUGAGUAGGGCGGGACACGUGGUAUCCUGUCUGAAUAUGGGGGGACCAUCCUCCAAGGCUAAAUACUCCUGACUGACCGAUAGUGAACCAGUACCGUGAGGGAAAGGCGAAAAGAACCCCGGCGAGGGGAGUGAAAAAGAACCUGAAACCGUGUACGUACAAGCAGUGGGAGCACAGGUUUACCUGUGUGACUGCGUACCUUUUGUAUAAUGGGUCAGCGACUUAUAUUCUGUAGCAAGGUUAACCGUAUAGGGGAGCCG
rnacentral:rRNA from 2 species